GUUGCAGGGGAAAGGAGAGAAAGGAAUCCCGUAACCCUUACGGUGAACUCCGAACGCCGUAUCUCCUCCGUCCGAGCUCCGAUCGUCGCACCGUUUGUGGCCACGCGACUACCGCAUCGAGCUCUACGUUUCUACCGGAACAAUUUCAUAGGAUCCAAUUAGCUUGAGGAAAACGUUUACUCUUGCUUAUGUGAAGCUUGGGUAAGGUUGUGAAUAAAUAAUUGGAGCUUGAAAUUGUGAAUACUGGAACUUGGAGGAAGCGGAUUAGUUGAGUUUUGAGGGGCUGUCUUGGUUUUGAAUAAAUAACUUUGGUCGUUACGUGAAAAUCGGCCAAGACGCAGGUCGAGAGGCAUCUCGUUAGGCGUCUGGACUCUUGAGGCGGAGUGGUUACUGGAUAUUUUGUUAUGAUAUGAUGUAUAUAUAUGUACUUAGCUUUCUCUCCGCAUGACUUAUUCUUUUUGAUCCUCUUAGAGGUUUAUGGAGAGGCAGGAUUGUAUAUAUGUACUUUUGGGUUUUGGAUAUAUAUGUACAUAUGUGUAAAUAUUCUCCGGCCAGUCUUGUAAUGUCCCAAGCUUCUUUUUUUUUUCUAUUAUUACUAUCCUAUACCCUUUAAUUUUAUCAAAAUUCCUACAGUACCCUUAUUCCUCCUACCCAACCCUAACCCUAAAUUACUAAACAACUUCCACUCUUCCUCAUCAACCACAGCCCCCCUUCUUUUCAAAACUCACACCAUAGACAUACACCCACGCAGAAAAAAAAAAGGCGAGAACGGCAGAAGGGGCUGCAGCCUCCACGCCUCGCCGCCAAAGUCCUGCUGCUGCCAAGUCGCCAUCGACGUCAACCCUAGAGAAAGAGGGAGUCUGCGAGUUGAAGGAAGCUGGAGGAGUGUCGCUGCCGUUAGCAUUUUGCAGUGCCGUCAUCAUGGUUGCCGAGAAGGAGGAGGACCCGCGAGGAAGAGAGGGAUGCGGUCAGUCUCAUCGUCAUCAGAUCCGUCUUUGCCGAUGGAGACCCCGUCGCCAAGCUGCUGCGCCGCCGCUGCCACCGUUGGGUUUCUGGGAAGAGGAGCUCGAACGGGAGAGAGAGAACGAGAGAGAGAGAACGAGAGAGUUCGCAGAAAGAGAAACAUCACCAUACACGAACAGAGGGGGGAGGAGGAACUCACCGGAGGAGAAGGAGACUCGUCACCGUGCCUCUAGUCGCCAGGAACGGCGCUAUCGUCGCCGGAAAACACGCCGGAGCUUCCAAACUCACCGGCAACACUACCUUGCCACUGUUCUGGUCUAGCUUCUUCCCUUAGUCUGUUUUGUUUUCACCUUAUCUCUGCCACCAUUUCAUUUUUCUACCUUGUUCUUGUUUUGAUAUAUUUUUAUCUUUGUUCUGUUUUGGAUCUUCCAGAAUUUUAUCUGCCUUUGUCUUUGUAUUCGAUUUGAAAUGACUGCCUAGUGUUGUGGUCAUUGUCGCUGUCGUGAGACGCACUCUGGGUUUGGUCUCUUCGGUCUGUUAGGACCAUGCUGUGAGUAGGCUUUACAUUUAUAAUUGUUUGAUUUUGCAUCUAUAAUUAUUCUGAUAUAUAUCUAUUAUGAUCUUUGAAUUAUACUCACUAUAUUUGCCUUGAACGAUUUUACAUUGAUUAGAAUAAUUGAUUUAUUAGAAUUAAAUAAUUUAUUUUUAUGAAGUUUAUAUUUUUGGAACUAUACAUGAGACUAUAU